rfam:Triticum aestivum genome assembly, contig: Triticum_aestivum_CS42_TGACv1_scaffold_222609_3B
AUAGUACUCCCUCCGUCUGGAAAUACUUAUCAGAGAAAUGGAUGUAUUUAAUUAUAUUUUAGUUCUAAAUACAUUCAUUUUUAUCAAUUUUUCCGACAAGUAUUUCGGGAUGGAGGAAGUAUUUU